GUUAGAUUGGAUCCGGUUUUCAGUCGAUCGAUGUCGAUGCAUCUUCUCAUUUGUGUAUGAAAUUCCGAGCUGGCGGGUUGUUCUUUCGUUAGACACCUUCAUCAGUGAUUCUUUAGAAGUUUUUAAUCCGUGGUGGUGAAAAUUUUCAUAAUUUCUUGAUCGAUUUCAGAAGUUUUUCGGUCCAUCGCGUUUUUUUCAUUAUUGUAUUUGCCGCUAAUUUGCGAGUCGUUUUUAGCGAAGGAAGUUGUCCUUUGCUCAACUACAUCUUCCGAGCAAGUGUUGUGUGUGCGUUCCUGUGAGAGUUCUUCCGCUGUGAUAGCAAUGUGUUAUUUUUAGUCUUGCCGCUAAUUGUCUUCAGAAGAGGAGAAGUUUGCGUGUAACCGGCAACAACCAAUCCGACCGUAACUGUCCUCCGCGGUACUAGGUAGUGCCAGUAGUGAACGGUGUGAAUUCGGAUUCGAACGUGAAAUCAAGUGCCCCGUACUACUACUUUUUCGGUGAGAGGCUGAAUUUGUACGUCGACCUGCUGCCAUUAUCAUCGCUAUCCGGAGCGGCAAAAGCGGGACCCGCAUUUGAAGAGGAAUAAUUAUGUCUAAAUUCGCUUGGGUGACGUUAGCGACAAAUGAUUCAUACUCGUUGGGCGCGCUCGUGGUGGCGCAUUCGCUCAAGCGAGUGCACACAGCCCACCAGCUGGCCGUCCUGAUAACGCCCGGCGUUUCGGAAGCAAUGAAAAACAAGCUUCGUGCCGUGUUCGACGUGGUGGAAGAGGUCAAUCUGCUGGACUCCAAGGACGCGGCUAACCUGGCUUUGCUGAAGCGCCCCGAGCUGGGAAUUACCUUCACAAAGUUGCACUGUUGGCGGCUGGUGCAGUACGAGAAGUGCGUUUUUCUUGACGCUGAUACGCUUGUGCUGCGUAACUGUGACGAACUGUUCGAACGCGAAGAACUGUCCGCUGCACCGGACGUCGGUUGGCCCGAUUGCUUCAACUCCGGCGUGUACGUUUAUCGGCCUAGCUUGGAUACGUUCUCCAGUUUGCUGCAAUUUGCCGUCACCAAUGGCAGUUUCGAUGGGGGCGAUCAGGGUCUGCUCAAUUCGUACUUCUCCGACUGGGCCUCCAAGGAUAUUUCGAAGCACCUACCCUUUGUGUACAAUACUUCGUCGGUGGCCUCGUACUCGUAUCUACCAGCAUUUAAGCAAUUCGGACAAAACACGAAGAUCCUACACUUUAUUGGAACGGCCAAACCGUGGUUGCAAAAUUUCAACUCCGAGACGCGUAAAGUGUACGUCCCUGGCGGUUAUCAGCAUCUAGCCAACUUCCUGCAAUACUGGUGGGAUAUCUUCUGCGAGGAUGUCCACUCACGUCUCUCCUCAGAGAUGCAAAAGGUUUUCAGCCGUUGGAUUGAACCAAACAAGGUCAGUAGUGGUACGAACCGUUCCUCCGGAACUGGAAGCUUCUAUACCGAAGGAAUUCCCAACAUUGGCGGUGGUGGUUUCGACGACUAUAAUGGUAAUGACUAUCGUCAGCACUGGCAAGAGCUGACCGUGAAUUACGAUACCCCGGUCGAGUACGUUGAUCCGUGGGAAGAAUAUCUCCGAAGGCAGGAAGUGGAACGCGAGCAAAGAGCUCGCGAACAGCAGAGAAUCGAAGAGGAAAGACUGUACUUCCAGUAUCUGGACAAUCAGCGUCUGCAAGAACAGCAGCAGCGCCAGCAACAUGAACAGCAACAAGCGCAACAACAUCAUGCUUAUCAUCAACAAGAUCAUACGCAUCACCAUCAUCACCAAGAUCAUCGUCAUCACGAUCACUACCAAGAUGCUAAUGUUUUUCAGAGCACAGAACAGUGGGUUGAACAAAUACAUAGGCAUGACCAGGGGGGUCACUGGGAGCCGGCACCACCGCCUGUAGAUAUGCAAUCAAAUCAGGUAGAGGUUGGUGGCAGCGAUCGGGGUGGUGGUGGUGGUAACAGUAACUGGCAUUCUAUCGAUACACAUCAAGCCCAACAACCACCACCGCCGGAUCAGUUUCAUGCCAGUGGCGACCAGCAAAUUGUUACGACUGACCACAGAGGCGGUAGUGGUGGGGGUGGUGCUGAUGAUGAUCGUGAACAACACCAGCAACUUUCAACCCAGCAAGAUCAACCCCAACAAGAUCAAGCGAACCAUGGUGAUGGGGCUGGUCUUGCUGCGGCACUUUCUCAGCUACACCUGGGUGAACCCAAAUCCGUCGAGCAGGAAGCGUACGAGGAGCACAUGCGCCGCCAAUGUUGGGAACAGGGCAACAUCGACUACAUGGGUCGUGAUUCGUUCGACAAUAUUUGGCGUCGCAUUCAGGAAACGCUGAAAGGUGCACCCCAGGAGGAGCCCGCUGCUGAGCCCGUCCCGGAUCCGGCUCCGGCUCCAGUCCCCGUCCGAGUUUCUCCACCGCGUCGCCGCUCGUCCAAGUCUCGGUCCCGUUCGACCACACCGAAACGGGAUCCCCGGGAUCGGUCCCCGACUCCACAACCCGAGGACAAUGUACUCCUAGAGAAGAAGGAAGGUUAUCAACAGGUAAUCACCACAAAGACCCCAGAAGGUAAGACUCGUACGGAGACCAAAACCGUCUACGAUCCAAGCGUUGAUGACGACAACCCAGCCGUCGAUGUGGUCGAUGCACCGAUGACAGUCACUUUGACCUCCUUGGUCGAGAGCAGAAUCGAACCGGUCAAACCCUUGGAACCACCAAUCGUACCGAUUAAUGUAUCCAUCCAACCCAUCAAACCAGUAGAACAAAAGGUGGAAGCCAUACCAGCAUCGAAAAGAGAAGCCACACCCCCACCUCCUCGCACGGAGCGGAAACCAUCACCACCCCGAGUAUCGCCAAGACCUCAGAUGCAGCAACAGGUUGCUCAGGAAUCGAUGGCAGGUAAAGCCCCAACCGCCGAACCGGUAAAAUCUACUCGCCGCAAGCGGGUUACACCACCACAAGCCACACCUCCAUCACCGUCUCUCGCCACUACUACAAAACCAACAACUACUACUACUACUAGUACUGCCUCUGUUCAAAUUGCGCCACCUCCGCCAAAACCAACUACCGUUCCGUCUAAGACUGCAACGGGCUCAAGUAAAUCAUCACAGUCAACCAACACUCCAACCAGCAAGCGCUCUAAGUCAUCAAAAUCGUCCAAGUCUGCCACCACCACCACCACCUCCUCUAUCACUUCGAACAAUCAUCAACCUCCGCCGCCGUCGUCACCAUCGAUGACCAAAAGCAGCACCCCAUCUACAUCGUCCACCUCUAAGUCGAUUGAUGAGCUAGACACCGUUCCAUUAACCGUCAGUGACGAACAGACGGAUCCCACUGGAACACAAGCGGAACAACCGGCGGUACCACCCCGCCGCAAACGGGAAAGUAAAAUUUCCCGCAUAGGUAAAGCCAACAAGUAGGGCAUGAGCUCUUGCUACCAUUACCGCACGCACGUAAUUCUCUACUUUAUCGACAUCGGAUCACCACCUCCCCCUUCUUGAUGAAACAUUUCAUCAUCCUAAUUUUUGGGUGUAAAACGUCAAUUACCUUCACAUACACGAACCCCAAUCAAUACACGUGUAUUAAUACUCGAGCCAACUCGACGCCUGUUCGGUCACCUGUUAUAGAUAGCAAUAGAUAACGAAAUUCUUCCGUGCCCUCUGUACGAUAUUGUGAAAUUGGGCCCAUGAUCUCAUUCCGAUCCGAGAUAUGAGAUCCAAGUAUGCCGCAAUCGCUCAAGUAACCCCUAUUGGUUUACACUAUAUCCUACCAUUGCUACUAUUGCUACUGCUAUUACCACUUGCUACCUACUACCGCUACUACCACUACAACUAAUGCUAAAUGCUGUUAGAUACAUACAUUUGCAUUUUAUCGAUACCAUCGUUAUAACGAUUUUGAGUAUAAAUUUACUAAAUUGUAGCCGCUGAAAUCGGUGCCGUCAAAGGUUUUCUUCUUAUU